rnacentral:tRNA from 1 species
GGGCCCGUAGCUCAGCAUGGUUAGAGCGCCAGUCUUAUAAGCUGGAUGUCGCCGGUUCGAAGCAAAUGCGAAAGUCUGGUCGGGCCCA